AAUGAGAGUUUGAUCCUGGCUCAGGACGAACGCUGGCGGCGUGCCUAAUACAUGCAAGUAGAACGCUGAAGAGAGGAGCUUGCUCUUCUUGGAUGAGUUGCGAACGGGUGAGUAACGCGUAGGUAACCUGCCUUGUAGCGGGGGAUAACUAUUGGAAACGAUAGCUAAUACCGCAUAACAAUGGAUGACACAUGUCAUUUAUUUGAAAGGGGCAAUUGCUCCACUACAAGAUGGACCUGCGUUGUAUUAGCUAGUAGGUGAGGUAAUGGCUCACCUAGGCGACGAUACAUAGCCGACCUGAGAGGGUGAUCGGCCACACUGGGACUGAGACACGGCCCAGACUCCUACGGGAGGCAGCAGUAGGGAAUCUUCGGCAAUGGGGGCAACCCUGACCGAGCAACGCCGCGUGAGUGAAGAAGGUUUUCGGAUCGUAAAGCUCUGUUGUAAGUCAAGAACGGGUGUGAGAGUGGAAAGUUCACACUGUGACGGUAGCUUACCAGAAAGGGACGGCUAACUACGUGCCAGCAGCCGCGGUAAUACGUAGGUCCCGAGCGUUGUCCGGAUUUAUUGGGCGUAAAGCGAGCGCAGGCGGUUUGAUAAGUCUGAAGUUAAAGGCUGUGGCUCAACCAUAGUUCGCUUUGGAAACUGUCAAACUUGAGUGCAGAAGGGGAGAGUGGAAUUCCAUGUGUAGCGGUGAAAUGCGUAGAUAUAUGGAGGAACACCGGUGGCGAAAGCGGCUCUCUGGUCUGUAACUGACGCUGAGGCUCGAAAGCGUGGGGAGCGAACAGGAUUAGAUACCCUGGUAGUCCACGCCGUAAACGAUGAGUGCUAGGUGUUGGAUCCUUUCCGGGAUUCAGUGCCGCAGCUAACGCAUUAAGCACUCCGCCUGGGGAGUACGACCGCAAGGUUGAAACUCAAAGGAAUUGACGGGGGCCCGCACAAGCGGUGGAGCAUGUGGUUUAAUUCGAAGCAACGCGAAGAACCUUACCAGGUCUUGACAUCCCGAUGCUAUUUCUAGAGAUAGAAAGUUACUUCGGUACAUCGGUGACAGGUGGUGCAUGGUUGUCGUCAGCUCGUGUCGUGAGAUGUUGGGUUAAGUCCCGCAACGAGCGCAACCCCUAUUGUUAGUUGCCAUCAUUCAGUUGGGCACUCUAGCGAGACUGCCGGUAAUAAACCGGAGGAAGGUGGGGAUGACGUCAAAUCAUCAUGCCCCUUAUGACCUGGGCUACACACGUGCUACAAUGGUUGGUACAACGAGUUGCGAGUCGGUGACGGCGAGCUAAUCUCUUAAAGCCAAUCUCAGUUCGGAUUGUAGGCUGCAACUCGCCUACAUGAAGUCGGAAUCGCUAGUAAUCGCGGAUCAGCACGCCGCGGUGAAUACGUUCCCGGGCCUUGUACACACCGCCCGUCACACCACGAGAGUUUGUAACACCCGAAGUCGGUGAGGUAACCUUUUGGAGCCAGCCGCCUAAGGUGGGACAGAUGAUUGGGGUGAAGUCGUAACAAGGUAGCCGUAUCGGAAGGUGCGGCUGGAUCACCUCCUU
rnacentral:rRNA from 1 species